rnacentral:misc_RNA from 1 species
CGAGAGCUGAGAACAGAGGUUUUUGCUAGGGUUUUUGGCUCUACGUUGAAAUACAAAACAGAGAAAGGAAAUGUCGUCUCUCAUGGCGAUUCGGGGAUCGCCGAGGUUCAAACUGACUCCUUCUUUAUCUUCUUCGCUCUUCAAGGUACGUUCUCUUCUAAACCCUCAGUUCGCUUUCAAUAGCAGCAUCAAUAGGACCUUAAUCCUCUCCAAAACCCUAAGCACCUCUUAUGCUGUUCCUGAUGACUAUCAAAGACCUCCACCCUCUAGUAAUCAGGACGAGAGAAGCCCUAAUGCCCACUGGAACGGGGGGAAUUCUAAUCAGUGGGGCUCGCCACAGGGCCAUAGUAACCCUAAUCAGUGGCCCUCUCAAGG